ensembl:lncRNA
GCGGAAGCGAAGAGCAGCUGCGGCAGGGGUUAGGGAGACCGCAGGUCAGAGUGGCCCCGGGGCAGAGGGGCCGGGGUCUGAGGUGCUUUCGCGGGGACGCGAGGUACCCGGGGGUGGCAGAGGCUUCCGAGGAAAGACUGCGCGCGACGGCGAGCCCCCGCCUCCUGCCCCGAGGCCGGCAUCCCUGGCGGGUCCCGAGGGGCCUGGUGCUAGGCUGGGCUGGGCCGGCCGGGGGCUGCUCGCGGGCCGCUUGCAGUUACCUCUUGGUCCUUCUGGACUGCCAGGAGGAAAUGGUUCUGGGGACGGUGCCUCCACCUUCCAGCACCGUCAGUUACAGUGUUACCAUAGUCGCCGUUAAGGCGGGAAACGAUGAACUCGGGCUCCUGGACCCCAAGCCACCCCGAGGAAUCGUCUGAGCAACCCGGGAUGAGGAAGAGCAGAGCAGUGGGCAUGGCGAGCCUGCUAGUGUGGUUUGCAGACUCCCGACGAUAGCACCACAGGCCCAGGAUCAGGAUGAUACAGUCACAAGUGGGACCUGGGAGCUGAGGGUCUUGCCCCAGAGCUUGCUGAGGAAGACAACGUGGAGAAACAGCCCAGAUUGUUCCAGACGGCUGAGAUGCAUAAAGUAGCACAGACUCAGUAGGGUGGCUGUUUCCCCUAGGAUGUCAAUCCACAGUGGUUUAAAUGACGUGCAAA